CACAUGUAUGAAAGGAGAGGUUAGCACUCUCCUUGAUAAGGAUGGACAACACAUAUGUAUAAUGUCAAGACACUGUCACUCUGCCAACACUUAACACACAUGUGAUUUGAUACUUGGAUUUU